CUUGGUCAUUUAGAGGAAGUAAAAGUCGUAACAAGGUUUCCGUAGGUGAACCUGCGGAAGGAUCAUUACCAAUCUUUUAGCGAGCCUUGGGCUUUGUCCAUGGUCUUGCAAACUCUGUAUUUAAAACCCGCUCAUAAAUUUAAAACAUAAACUUUUGUUAUUAUUAUUAUUAUAAUAAAGAUCACUUUCAACAACGGAUCUCUUGGCUCUCGCAUCGAUGAAGAACGUAGCGAAGUGCGAUAAGUAUUGUGAAUUGCAGAAUCCGUGAAUCAUCGAAUUUUUGAACGCAAAUUGCACUCUCUGGUAUUCCGGAGAGUAUGCCUGUUUGAGGGUUGGUUUAAAUAACAAUCGAUAUGUUGCUUUGUGACAUUUCGGAGUUGGGUCAUCUUAAUCUUAACUUUAAGGGACCUAAAAUUGAUGUUCUUGCGCAUCUUGACGUGUAUAAUUUUUUUUAUCUCGUCACCGGAUGCCAGGUAUUAUUAGGUGUGACUAUGCUAAGUGGUUUCAUGCCUAUAGGAUUCUUGAUUUCAACCUCAAAUCAGGUAAGGAUACCCGCUGAACUUAAGCAUAUCAAUAAGCGGAGGA
rnacentral:rRNA from 1 species